UGCGACUGCAGCGGGAAAAGCUCAAAUUUCAAAUUUGGUGGUCCUUGGCCUUUCGACUUGUAACUUUUGAUUGUUAUCCGCUCUGGACCGUGUACCCUCCCCUGGAAUGGGGCGUCAUAGAGGGUGAGAAUCCCGUCUUUGACCCUGAUUACCAGGGCUUUGUGAUGCACUCUCAAAGAGUCGAGUUGUUUGGGAAUGCAUCUCAAAAUGGGCGGUAAAUUCCAUCUAAAUCUAAUUAUUGGCGAGAGACCGAUAGCGAACAAGUACCGUGAGGGAAAGAUGAAAAGAACUUUGGAAAGAGAGUUAAACAGUACGUGAAAUUGUUGAAAGGGAAACGCUUGAAGUCAGUCGCGUCUGCCAGGGAUCAACCUUACUUUUGUGAGGCGUACUUCUUGGUUGAUGGUUCAGCAUCAUUUUUGGCCGCUGGAUAACGGUCAGAGAAAUGUGGCCCCUUCGGGUGUGUUAUAUUCUUUGAUCACAUACUCUGGCUGGGACUGAGGAACUCAUCGCCGCAAGGCUGUCUUAAGAUGCUGCUAUAUGGCUUUUAUCGACCCGUCUUGAUACUCGGACCCGGAUUCUAACAUGCCUGCGAGUGUUUGGGUGGAAUACCCGAGCGCGUAAUGAAAGUGAAAGUUGGGAUCCCUGUCAUGGGGAGCACCGACGCCCAUACCAGAAGUUUACCGACGCAUAUGCCGGUGGAUCUUGUAUGUUGAGACCCGAUAGAUGGUGAUCUAUGCCUGAACAGGAUGAUGCACGAGGAAUCUCUGGUGGAGGCUCGUA
rnacentral:rRNA from 1 species